UUGGAAUUCUGCUGUUGCUUUCACUCCAUAGCCACACUGUUCUCCAAUCCUUUUCCCCACUGCACUGAUUUGAUGUUUUUCUUUGUUCCAUCAUUGAAGGGUCCAGUGUCGGAGUCUCUUGUGUGGCGUAUACACACUAAGGUCAAGCCUUGAAUCACCAAUACCAAUUGCCAAGUAAGAAGAAAAAAAAAUCAAGCUGUUUUCUUGCUUUUAAGUCUUAUAUAUGUUUCUUUUGGUCUUGGAACUAUAUACAUUAGGCAUGCAUAAAGGAAAGGCUUUUACCUCGUGGGUCGUGAAAGUUUAUCAUUUCACUAAAACUUCCAAAUCAUUGGGCAAUCUAGACUUCUUUUACACCACAUCUACUUGUUGCCAUAUACUUCUCCCCUUUUGCAUCUGAAUCAGACUGUUUUUAUCCUUUACACCUUCCUAAUCAAAGUUUCCCAAAAUUUAGUUUAA